rnacentral:lncRNA from 13 species
CGUGGAUAAGGCCUUGGUUCAGCAGAUGGAGGACGCCUACAGCAGUCUGACAGUCAGGCUGCCUGACACAAACCCUGACCUACUCAUACUCUACCAGGAUUGGCUGGAGGGGCAGGACUCAACGCAUGCCAACACACUCCUACACACACAGUACACACAGCAGACCUCCAGCCAGACACAGACACACAUACAGUGGUGAGAUACACACACACAGAAACCCAAACACACCUCAACAUCCAAAAGCCCAAUCAAUCACUGACCCUCUGUCUUCUAAGGACCCACUGCAGUGGUUUCCAUAGGUACCAUUGUAUAGGCGUGGAUGGGCAGAGGGCCUGGAUGCUGUAUUUGUGUUCCUUUGCUCCCUGCCUAAAGAAUCAUCUCUGGAAAACACCCAUAUGUCCAAGACUUGAUUCUGAACUUCCUUACUCGACCAGAAGGUGGUGCUGUUAUUCCAUCCGAUGUACUGCUCUCGAGUGCUGUGGAGGCUGAUCCACUGCUUUCACCAUGGAGGGGAAACAGCAAAUAUGUGUGCUUUGUUCCAGAGGGAAUUCAUGAUGUGACAGACACAUUUGUGACAUUGGGAAAACAAUUGUAUCUGAUCCAAGGGGAUGAAGCAGGACAACUAUCAAACAAACUGUGUCCUGUUAACAUGUGGUGAAUGUGAAACCUCUCCCAUAUUAGGACUGUCUGGGAUAUGUCAGAGAGAGAGAAGAGAAAGAGGAAGAGAAAGAGAGAGAGAUGGAGAGAGAGAGAACGUGUUGCAUGCCUUCUCAACAGUCUUCAGGUAGGGUAGAGAUUGUCUCCACCGAAUCUCUUCUCCCACAGUUAUUUUCUGGGACACUGCACAAUACAACUUUAUUUGACGGCAGAACAAUCAGAGGCUGUAAGCUUGACACAUGGCAAAAUGCUUCUGCUGUUUCUGAGUCUCGGUUUGCUCACUUCUAAUGUCCAGUCAGAAAAACAAGGGGUUGAUGUCACGUGUGAAAAUCAAUCGGUUGUAGCAGGACAGAACCACAACCUGACAUGUAGAGUGGAUUACAGUGAUGCAUAUCAGAAUAAGAAGGGUGAUGUAGGUAACAGUGAGAUGGGAUGUAAAACUGAACAGUAUUUCUGGAAGGAUAAAUCAAAAACUCCAAUACGAAAUUGUGAUUGUACAAAAGAUUGUAACACUACGAUAACAACCAACACCUACUUUUGUGAGAUCAAAAAUGUUACCAACGCUGAUGAGGGAAACUACACUUUUACCAUUAACACAGACUGUGGCAACGGACAUGGCACAUUGACUGUUUCAUGUAAGUUACAUGUGAGUACAAUGCUAAUAUACAGUGACCAGUGUUACACAGGUUAA